AGCGGAGCCGGAAGCGGCCUCAGUACUUCCGGUACGGGAAACUCUGCUGCAGCUCCGACCCGGCUUGACAGGCGCUGUCCCUGCAAGUGGAGCGCUCUUCUUUCGCCUUCCUCGGGGCUAAACCUUCCAGCUCCUUUGCCGCCCGCCGUCCCGCCACUCCUGUCUCGGAAUCCGCCCCUUCCCCAUGUGCCGGGGCAGGAGUCCUGAAAGCCAACACCCGCUCGCCGGCACCCGAUCAUGUCCGAACUGACUAAAGAGCUGAUGGAGCUGGUGUGGGGCACCAAGAGCAGCCCUGGACUCUCUGACACCAUCUUCUGCCGCUGGACUCAAGGGUUUGUGUUUAGUGAAUCAGAGGGAUCUGCAUUAGAACAGUUUGAAGGUGGCCCCUGUGCUGUUAUUGCACCUGUUCAGGCAUUUCUUUUGAAGAAGCUCCUGUUUUCUUCUGAGAAGUCUUCUUGGAGGGAGUGCCCAGAGGAAGAGCGGAAGGAACUCCUUUGUCAUACCUUAUGUGAUAUUUUAGAAAGUGCUUGUUGUGACAACUCUGGAUCAUACUGCUUGGUUUCAUGGUUAAGAGGAAAAACAACUGAGGAAACUGCUAGUAUUUCUGGGAGUCCUGCACAGUCUAGUUGCCAAGUGGAACAUUCUUCUGCCUUGGCUGUCGAAGAGCUUGGCUUUGAGCGAUUUCAUGCAUUAAUUCAAAAAAAAUCAUUCAGAAGUUUAUCAGAAUUAAAAGAUGCUGUCUUGGACCAGUAUUCAAUGUGGGGAAACAAAUUUGGAGUAUUGCUUUUUCUGUAUUCUGUGUUACUGACAAAGGGCAUUGAAAACAUAAAAAAUGAAAUUGAAGAUGCAAGUGAACCUUUAAUAGAUCCUGUGUAUGGACAUGGCAGCCAAAGUUUAAUUAACCUCCUCCUGACGGGACAUGCUGUUUCUAACGUAUGGGAUGGUGACAGAGAAUGCUCAGGAAUGAAACUUCUUGGUAUACAUGAACAAGCAGCUGUGGGAUUCUUAACACUAAUGGAAGCUUUAAGAUACUGUAAGGUUGGUUCUUACUUGAAAUCUCCAAAAUUCCCUAUUUGGAUUGUUGGCAGUGAAACUCACCUCACCGUAUUUUUUGCCAAGGAUAUGGCUUUAGUUGCCCCUGAGGCUCCUUCAGAACAAGCCAGAAGAGUGUUUCAAACUUAUGAUCCAGAAGAUAAUGGAUUCAUACCUGAUUCACUUCUAGAAGAUGUGAUGAAAGCAUUGGACCUGGUUUCAGAUCCUGAAUAUAUAAAUCUCAUGAAGAAUAAAUUAGAUCCAGAAGGGUUAGGAAUCAUACUAUUGGGUCCUUUUCUUCAAGAAUUUUUUCCUGAUCAGGGUUCCAGUGGUCCAGAGUCUUUUACCGUCUACCACUACAAUGGAUUGAAGCAAUCAAAUUACAAUGAAAAGAUGAGGCAUCUGAGACAGGGUCACAGAGCAAGUCACUGGCAGAGCAGGGAUUGGAACUGAGUUCCUGAUUCCCCAAUCCUGUCCUUGGUCUGCUUGACCACGCUACCUGUAUAUAGUCAUGUAUGUGGAAGGAACCGCAGUUAUUAUGGGUUUUGAAGAUCCCAUGCUGCAGACAGAUGACACUCCUAUCAAACGCUGUCUCCAAACCAAAUGGCCCUACAUUGAACUACUCUGGACCACAGAUCGCUCUCCUUCACUAAACUGAUUUGCUGAGUAUUGCUAAGGAAAAUCAUAGCAGCUGUUGAAAGAGGGAUGCAGGACUGGCGAUUGGCUCCUUUAAGCUAUACACUGGUAUCACUGAUGAACUGUAAAUAACAAUUGACAACACAUUUUCAGUGUUUAAGAUAUGUUUAAAUUAUUUGUUUUAAAGCUUUAUGAUGUUAAAGGUUACCCCUAUUUAAACUCUUUAUGUGAAAUUCACUAGCAAAACUAAGCUUUACUCAAAGUUCAUCACUGUUGCAGUCAGAGCAGUCAUUUAUCAAAUUAGAAACACCGUAUCACUGUAACAUUUUUAUAUUGAGUAUCAAAGUUACGAUUUCUAAACUUCUAGUUGGGGGUUUUACUUCAUUUGGGCACAGUUUAUUGUUUAAAUGAUUCUGGCAUGCAAUAUAUCAGCCUCCACACUGAAAUGCAGAAGGGUUUAAUCUUUGUUAUUUCUUUUCUAAAGUCUGGUUUCCAUUAGAAAUAAUGAUAUAUAACAAAUUAUCAACCUGGAUCUUUGACAAUUGGCUUAGCUCUAGCAUGUUUAUAAAAAGUAGAAACUAUAAGGGAACACUACCACUUAUUCACAGAUAUGAGAGGAUGUAUUAAAAAAAAAAGGAAAGAGAAUCUGUUUGAUAGUCUUAACACUGUUGACUUUCACUGUAUUGCCAAAUAUACUUUUCCAAAUUUGUCCCAACAGCCCUGUAAGCCAGCUUUCUUGUAUAUUUAUAAAUGUGAUAAAUGCAUGAGAACAUCUGUUAUUACAUUAGUAUAUUGCAUUAUUUAUUAUGAUCCUAGUGGAUGGCCUAAAUAAACACUUUUUUUCUUUAACUG